CCUACGGGUGGCAGCAGUGGGGAAUAUUGCGCAAUGGGCGAAAGCCUGACGCAGCGACGCCGCGUGAGGGAUGAAGGUCUUCGGAUCGUAAACCUCUGUCAGCAGGGAAGAACGGUCACUGUGCUAAUCAGCAGUGAAUUGACGGUACCUGCAAAGGAAGCACAGGCUAACUCCGUGCCAGCAGCCGCGGUAAUACGGAGGGUGCGAGCGUUAAUCGGAAUUACUGGGCGUAAAGCGCUCGUAGGCGGUAUGUCAAGUCAAGGGUGAAAGCCCCGCGCUCAACGUGGGAACUGCAUUUGAAACUGGCAAACUGGAGUGUGUGAGAGGAUAGUGGAAUUCGAGGUGUAGGAGUGAAAUCCGUAGAUAUCUGGAGGAACAUCAGUGGCGAAGGCGACUAUCUGGCACAUAACUGACGCUGAGGAGCGAAAGCGUGGGUAGCAAACAGGAUUAGAUACCCGGGUAGUC
rnacentral:rRNA from 1 species